rnacentral:lncRNA from 1 species
AGCCAUUGUCCAUAUACCAAGGCUGCUUCUUCUUUAGUUGAGCUUUUGAACAUGUAUCUUUUGAGUGCAGCUCAACCUACAAAACAAGUUUUCAGUUUUUCUUAAUAGGUACCCAUACUUUGAUGGGUCUUUGAAGGUUAGUUGCAAUAUAGGAUCCUUUUAGAACCCAUAUCUUUCUUAUUUUCUUCAUGCUUUUUGUCUUAAAACAAUCAUUUAGAUAAUGCAUUAGCAGAAUUUUUCUUGUAGUGGACAUUCCUUUUCGAAGUUUCAUUUUUCAAACUUUUAAGAGCUGUGUUUUCAUUAAGUGUUUUUUGCAAAGCUUCAGAUUUAUUGUCCAGCUCUAAUUUUAAAACUUCAAAAUCUAUUUUUGAAUGUUCUAACUCAACUUGCAAAAAAUUUCUUUGCUCAAAAACAGAGUUGAACUAUUCUCUCAUCGUUUCCAAAUAAUUUUCAAGAGAUGCAGCAUUUUUCUUCAAAUUCUUGUAUUUUGAAAAGAGUUUUUCAAAUUCAUCAUAAAGGCACUCACACUCAUCUUGUAAAUCAUCAAUAGAAAUAUUGUAGGGGGAUGAGGAUACCUUGAAUUCAUCAUCCUGUGCCAUCAAGCAUAGAUUUGCUCUUUCCUCAGCUUUUUCAUCCUCAGUUUUAGAACUUGAAGUGUCACUAUCUGACCAAGCAGUUGCCACCAUUGCCUUCUUUGAUUUCUUGUUUUUCUUUGGAGUCUCAUCUUUCAAAAAUGGGCAUUCGGACAUGAAAUGUCCAAGCUUCUUGCAUUCGAAGCAGGUUAGCUCAUCCUUUUUGUUGGAGUCAUUUUUGUUUCUAGUUCUCUAUGAAGAACCUUGAUAUUUUCUAAACCCUUUUCUAGCCAAUCUCCAAUUUCUUUGCCCAUAUGCUUUUUGAAUUUCCUUGCAACCAGUGCCAACUCUUCAUCAUCAUCACAAGAUAGCUCUUCUAGCUCUUCUUUAAGAAUGCUGACUUUUAGUGCAAUGCGCUUUUUCUUUUCUUUUGCUUCCCUUCUGUCUUCUUCUUCCUCUUUCUUGAGUUCUAGCUCAUGAGUAAGGAGAGAACCACAAAUCUCAUCUAUAGUAAUAAUAUUUAGGUCCUUGGCUUCUCAAAUUGCAGUCACUUUGGGCUUCUAAUUUUUUGGUAGGCUUCUAAAAAGUCUUUUAACAACCUCAUGCUUGGGAAUUGGUUUGACUAGUUGACUUAAUUUGUUUGUGAACCUAUCUAACAUGCUGGUGAUAUCUUCACUAGGCUCCAUCUUAAACAUUUCAUAAUUAUGGGUCAAGAGGGCUAUCUUAGACUCCUUGACUUAAGAAGUCCCUUCAUGGAUAAUUCUAAGCUCAUCCCACACCUGUUUAGCUAUUGUACAGCUUGAUACUUUGUUGAAUUCUGUGAGAGUCAAGGCACAAUACAAUGUAUUGAUAGCCUUAAAAUUUGUUUGGACUCUCUUAGUUUCAGCUUCGAUCCAUUCAAACCUUGGCUUAGACAUUAUCUCAUUGGUUACUACAUUUAAGGUUAAGGGAAUAAAGGGUCCAUCAGUUAUGACGUCCCAUAUUUCAUAAUCAAUUGCUCUAAUGUAUAUUGACAUCCUAGUGCUCCAAUAAGGAUAGUUAGAGCCAUCAAACAGAAGUGGUUUGUUUGUUGAUUGUCCUUUAACAACUAUGGAUUUUUAGAGAGCCAUUUAGAUCUUCCCAACAGUGUUAGACCUUAAUAACAGGGAACUAGCUCUGAUACCACUUAUUGGUCCCAAGUAAAUGUGCUAGAAGGGGGGUGAAUAGCACUUUUUGGCUCUUGGCAAGAUGAAGAACUAAUUCGAAAAGCAAUGAAAAUAAAAAAAACAGAGUAGAUAAUGAGUAGGAAUUUAGAGUGGUUCGGUCCAAGACUUACAUCUACUACCUUGAUUACCCAACCAAGGAUUUUCCAAACUAAUCCACUAUAAACCAGUGAAAUUCACAAGCUUUAACCAAGCUUCACAAUGGCUUUUACCAGGCUUAGCCAAAAUCUUUCACAAUAGUUUUUACUGGGAUCAACUAAAACCCAAAGUGGUUUUUCAAAGGCUCAACCACAACCCUUCACAAUGGUUUUUCAUGGGCUCAACCAAAACCCAAAGUGGUUUUUCAAAGGCUCAACCAAUUCAGCCAUUCAUGCAAAUAUUAUCAUAAGCCAUUCAAUUCAAACCAUGAUUUAUAACACAACAAUUAGUCUCCAAUUACUCCAUUUUCAAAACCAUCUUUCAAUUUCAAGACAAUUUAUAAAAUCAUUUCAUUUAAUCACAUUUUACUUAUAAAACAUAAAGAUUUACCAUUUAAACUCAUUUUCCAUAAAAUCACAAAAUUGGAUAAAAAUCACUUUAGAUAAUUAAGACGAUAAUAAGGUUACUCACUAUUUUGAGAGUCGAAUUCUGAGUACUCCGAUUCUUGAUCCUUGGGUACUAUCUCUUUACUUUUGCCAGAAAGCUCACCACCUAGACAUAAUGCACAAUAAGCCAUUUACUACAUUUGUGCUAAACCGUUGUAAAACAAAUUCAGACUUUAUACUAAUGCAUGAAAUGGGAUGUGAAAUACUCGGGUAACUAUCUAAAUACGAUGUUCAAUAUAAAUUCAAUUAUGUAACUAAAUAAAAUGGUAUUGGCUUAAUUCGAUCUAUCACCCGAUUAAUUGGCCAAUAUUUCCAAUUCAACUCCAAAUAAUUCUAUUUUUCUCCCAAUACUCCAAAUCAUCAAACACAAAUUAAGUAACAUAAAAUUUAACAAAACCAUCCUCACAUUUUCUCUUGGAAAAUUCGGCCAUGGUGGGUGCAUCAACACUAUAAUUUUUCCUACUUGAUUUUCACACCAUAAAUCACUAAUUUCUAACCAAAUCACUUGAAAUAAAAUCAAAAUCAUCAUCAAUAUUCCACAUGGAGAAUUCGGCCAAUGAUGGGUUAUGGAAGAACAUGAAUUUUUCUUGUUGACUUUUCAUGCUACACAUCACUAACAAACUAAAAACACUAAAAUACAUUGAAAUCUAACCAAAUCAAGCAUCAAAAACUCCCUCUAAGUGUUUAGCAAGCAAGGGAUUAAUCAUGAUUUCAUAUGAUUCAACCAUGGAAAAUAAGAAAAAAAUGCUUAAGAAAGAGAGAUCUCGAGCUUAAUUGAAAAAUCUUACCUUUUUUUCACUUGUUUCCUUGAAUUUUCACACUUUUUCCUUGAAUUUUCACUCUAGGGUUUUUGUUCUUUCUUUUCUUCCUUUGUUCUUGC